CCAGGAUUUUGCCGGCGUGCUUAAACAUGCAAGUCGAACGAACCUUCGGGUUAGUGGCGGACGGGUGAGUAACGCGUGAGAAUCUGCCCUCAGGAGGGGGACAACAGCUGGAAACGGCUGCUAAUACCCCAUAUGCCGAGAGGUGAAACGAAUUUCGCCUGAGGAUGAGCUCGCGUCUGAUUAGCUAGUUGGUGUGGUAAUGGCGCACCAAGGCAUCGAUCAGUAGCUGGUCUGAGAGGAUGAUCAGCCACACUGGGACUGAGACACGGCCCAGACUCCUACGGGAGGCAGCAGUGGGGAAUUUUCCGCAAUGGGCGAAAGCCUGACGGAGCAACGCCGCGUGAGGGAUGAAGGCCUCUGGGCUGUAAACCUCUUUUCUCAAGGAAGAAGAUCUGACGGUACUUGAGGAAUAAGCCACGGCUAAUUCCGUGCCAGCAGCCGCGGUAAUACGGGAGUGGCAAGCGUUAUCCGGAAUUAUUGGGCGUAAAGCGUCCGCAGGCGGUCCAGAAAGUCUGCUGUUAAAAAGUGGAGCUUAACUCCAUCAUGGCAGUGGAAACUACUGGACUAGAGUGUGGUAGGGGCAGAGGGAAUUCCCGGUGUAGCGGUGAGAUGCGUAGAUAUCGGGAAGAACACCAGUGGCGAAGGCGCUCUGCUGGGCCAUAACUGACGCUCAUGGACGAAAGCCAGGGGAGCGAAAGGGAUUAGAUACCCCUGUAGUCCUGGCCGUAAACGAUGAACACUAGGUGUCGGGGGAAUCGACCCCCUCGGUGUCGUAGCCAACGCGUUAAGUGUUCCGCCUGGGGAGUACGCACGCAAGUGUGAAACUCAAAGGAAUUGACGGGGGCCCGCACAAGCGGUGGAGUAUGUGGUUUAAUUCGAUGCAACGCGAAGAACCUUACCAGGGUUUGACAUCCUGCGAAUCUCCUGGAAACGGGAGAGUGCCUUCGGGAACGCAAGUGACAGGUGGUGCAUGGCUGUCGUCAGCUCGUGUCGUGAGAUGUUGGGUUUAGUCCCGCAACGAGCGCAACCCACGUCUUUAGGUUGCCAGCAUUCAGUUGGGCACCUCUUAGAGAAGACCGCUCGUGAUUAAACCGGGAGGAAAGUGGUGAAUGAACGUCAAGUUCAUUCAUGCCCCUUUACAUCCCUGGGGCUACACACACACGU
rnacentral:rRNA from 1 species